AUGCUUGCUUCAGCAGCCCAUAUACUAAAAUGGGAUUGAAUGGGAGAGAAGAUUAGCAUGGGCCCAACAUAAGGAUGACAUGCAAAUUCGUGAAGCUAAAGUUUU
ensembl:snRNA U6 U6 spliceosomal RNA